GGACAGCUGCCCUCUGUCACCGCAGUGGGGCCCUCUGCUACCUCCUGUGCCUCAUUGCCUGCCUGCCAGGCCAGGACUCCAUGGCUGGGAGCUGCCUGCAGUGCUCCAAGGACUUUCAGUAAGGAGUGGACACCCUCGUGCCCCAGGAAGAGAGGAGGGAAAGGGCAGGAAGGACAAAGCAGCAGGGCGAGUGGUUGGGAGAGACCAGGGCUUCCUUCUCCCUGGAAGAAAGUGGUCCUGUACAGGUCCCUUCUAUGGUGGCCCUGAGUGUGAUGAGCUCCCAGGGGCAUGAGUCCAGUAGCCUGGUGGUUGAUCCCCUGGAGCCUGCCCAGGACACAGUCCCUGGAUUUCUAACUUCAAUCACAGCCAAGGUGCAGGAUAGGUACCAGAAGACGUGGGCUCUAGACAGGCACUGUUUCUCUCCUGCCCUAUGACCUGGUGAAUCCUCACUUGGGAAGUGGGGCUGGCCAUCAUAUGAUCUAUCUUCCCACAUUCACUGUUAGCAGCUCUGGCUGCUUGCAGCUUCUCCUCAGACCAGAUGGCAGCAGACCCAAAUGUACCAAGGCCAGGUGUGAAGGGCCUCAAUGCCAUCUGCACUGCCAUUAAGGCCCAACUGCUCCCUGGCUCCCAAACCUGCAGGGCCUCUCCUCAGUUGCUCAGAUUCCUUUGGCUUUUGCAGCUACCAUGGUGGCAGGACAGCUCAGCAGCCGUGCCUCACCAGAAUCUGCAGCCGGCUCCCAAGACUCAGAGAAAGCAAAGACUACCAGUGUUACCUGCCCAGGCAAGAGCCAAAAGCAAAGCACACUGCCCAUGUCUUCUGCCCUCUGGGCUACUUCUUCAUAGACAGAGUCCUUAGCUGCCAGCCUCGCCCCACAGGGCACUGGCCAAAGGACAGCAGUGGAAGAGGAAUGGAGGGAGAGCCCCUGCACCUGCGGGCAGAAGGCCACUUCUGCCCAGAUGGUGCCAUCACCAUGCCAUGCCUGGCCAGGACCUUUGAAAGCAGGAGGGAGACACCCCACCCCAACACCAGCUUCUGCUUAGCAGUUCUCAGCCAGUGUCUGCAGUGCCCAGCGGGAUACUUCUGCCCCAACCAAGCCACCCAACCCAUCCCAUGCCAGCCAGGCACAUUUAGCCCGAAUCCAGGCCAGGAUGAAACCACAGACUGUGUUCCAUGCCCAGCAGGCAAGGCCUGUACCCAGGCUGGGCUGACUCAGCCAGAUGCAGAGUGCACACCGGGGUAUGUGUGCCCUGUGGGCUCUUCCAGCCCCAAUGCUCCCACCCAUGCCUGCCCACCCGGGACAUUUAGCAGCCGCAACAACCUCUCCGACCUGUCACAGUGUGAGGUCUGCCCCUCGGGAGUAGCCUGUCCUAGGGGAACUGGAAGUCCAAACUGGCCCCCUAUCCCCUGUCCAGCUGGCCAUUAUUGCCCUCUGGGCACCAAACGGCCGACCCAGUUCCAGUGUCCCCCAGGCACCUGGAGUAACCAGACUGGACUAACAGCAGUCGAGGAGUGUGUACCUUGUCCCAGGGGCUGGUUCUGUGUCACUGGAGCCCAGCUUCCCUCAGGGACAUGCAAAGCUGGGCAUUACUGCCCACAAGGUGAGUGGGGCCAGGGUCUGCUCUGCAAGGUCACAGGUGAGUGCCAGAAGAGAAAGCCACGAGCCAGCCUGCCAUACUAA
ensembl:lncRNA